rnacentral:rRNA from 1 species
UACAGAGGGGGCAAGCGUUGUUCGGAAUUACUGGGCGUAAAGGGCGCGUAGGCGGCCUGUUAAGUCGAACGUGAAAUCCCCGGGCUCAACCCGGGAACUGCGUCCGAUACUGGCAGGCUUGAAUCCGGGAGAGGGAUGCGGAAUUCCAGGUGUAGCGGUGAAAUGCGUAGAUAUCUGGAGGAACACCGGUGGCGAAGGCGGCAUCCUGGACCGGCAUUGACGUUGAGGCGCGAAAGCCAGGGGAGCAAACGGG